GGGGGGACUCAAACAAGGCACCAGCGGCGGCCAAGGAUCGCCCCCAGCAGAAGCGGCAGCGCAACCGCACCCCCACCAGCCAGCACCGCGGCUCGGGCUGCCAUGGGCGGGAGGCUGCGAUCCGCAUCACCUGCCUCUGCCUCUGCGUCGCGCGCCCUCCCCGCCCCUUAUCCCCCUCCUCCGCCCCCAGCGAACCACAGCCCCGACCCCGUCGCCGACUUCUUCUCCGGCGAAGAGAACCAGCUCCCGCCCCCGCCUUGUGUCGAGCCUGGGCGAGAUGAGAUCGAGGAUGCCGUCGCCGGUGUGCUAGCGGCCCCGCUCGACUUCGGAGGGGCUGGUGCACACGACUCCAGCGUCGACGUGCCGGCUCCCAGUGGGCCCCUUGCAUGCAUGCAACCCAGCUCCGUCCAGGCAUGCAGGACCGCCCCGCCCCCUCCCACGACCGCAACAGUGCUCGGGGCGGUGACUCACCAGGUGUAGCAACUGCAGCUUGGGCGAGAUGGCGCUGCCACUCAGCUGCUCUUCUGCGAGGCUCCUCCCCCUCAUGGCGAAUACCAGCAGCGGCACGGUGGCCCUCCGCCCCCCCAAGACGCGAGCGCCAUCGGCCCCCAUCCGGCAUAACGCCAGGCAGGCGGCCAUCCCCUCCUCCACCCCUAUCACGUAGCGGGCCAUGCUCCGGCUGGUUCAGGAGCUCGACAUCAUGGGGCCAAAGCAGCGGAUGAUGGUGAAGGCAGCGGAGGCGUGCAGCAUCGUUUUGAUGAGCUGCUGACUGAAUACGACGUCGCCUGCAUUGCCAAGCUUACGCGCCUCGACGUCCAGGCGCUGCACACCAUGGCAGGCCCGGACGGAGCAGCACAUGAGUAGAUCAUGUUAGCGCUUGGAUUAGGUAGUCUCCGGCAGCAGCUGGCCUUAAGCUAGUCUGAGUUAGGUAUCUUUGUUAUGAUUAGUGCAGGUUAUCGAUGUUUAGCUCGUAGUCAGCGUGAUUUGGGGCGUAUUGGUGGACGCUGGCACGCCACGGAUGUGAGGUGGUGUCUCUGUAUUAGAAUGUUUCCUUCAGUAAUAGAAUUUGGUUUGUUGCCGGAGCAUUUUCGAAGGCGUUAUGAGUAACACAAUCAUCUCCAUCAUGAACUGGAACGUACGGGGCCUGAAUUCGCCGACCAAGAGAGCAACCAUUUGCGAGACAGCCAACGCCCACAGCCUCGCUCUCCUUUGUCUUCAAGAGACCAAGAUAGAUGCAUGGACACAAGGCAUCGUCAGAGAGAUCGGCGGUGGCCGCCUGGACAACUGCGUCGUGUUCCCGGCCGUGGGUACGCUCGGCGGGGCAGCGAUCUUCUGGGACUCCUCCAAGGUCGCCGUGGCUACGCAUUCUGUGGGGCAGUUCUCCAUCACCGCCAGUGUCCACCAACUGCACACCAACACUUCCUUCUGGUUAACAACAGUGUACGGCCCUGCCGAUGAAGCCAGGAAAGAUGAGUUCCUUGAUGAGAUGGUCAGAAUCAGGCCGCCCCAGGGUGAACCAUGGCUGAUCAACGGAGACUUCAACAUCAUCUAUGAGGCAAGAGGCAAAAGCAACCGCAACCUAAACAAAAUAAUUAUGGGAAGAUUCAGAGACGCCAUUGACAGGGCAAGCGUGAGAGAAAUCAAAUGCAAAAACACACGCUUCACCUAGAGCAAUGAGAGGGAAAACCCAACCUUCGUCGCGAUCGACAAAGUUUUCUGCAACCAGGAAUGGGAAGCUUCUUUCUCAUGGCUGCACCCACCUCCUGCUCAGAUCAUUGCCCUCUGCUUCUGACCAACGCCGCGGCACCACCCCGCCAGGCCGUUUUUAGAUUUGAAUCUUUCUGGCCCAAGUUCCCUCAUUUCCAACAGACAGUUCCACAUUGCAUCUGAAGUUGUACUCCGGCUAGAUGUGGCACAAGAAAAGCGUCAGCUCACUCCCAGUGAAUUUUGGUUAAGGAAGACGCUGAAACUUAAGAUCGUCGGGCCUGCAGUACUCGAGCGCGUCAGAAAGAGGCAGGCAACACGGACCACCUGGAUGAAAGCGGGUGAUGCUCGCACAGUUUUCUUCCAGGCAAAUAUCAUCUCCAGGAGGAGGAAGAACCACAUCCACUGCAUUGAGGCCGCGGGCAGGCAGGCAACAAACCACAGCGACAAAGCGAAGCUGAUCCAUGAACAUUUCUCUGCCCUGGUUGGCACCAAGGGGAGGAGGGCUCGGACAAUCAAUUGGGAUUCGAUCAAGCUCCCGCGACUACAGGCAGGGACUGGCCUCGACAACCCCUUCACGGAGGGAGAGGUGUGGGCAGCGAUCUGCGUCUCUCCGGCAGAGAAGUCGCGAGGACCAGACGGUUACAAUGGCACUUUCUUCAACUAUCAAGGCUGACAUCAUGGCGGUUUUUAGGCCUUCUACCGGCUGGCAGGCGGCGAUUUUGUAGCCCUCAACCGAGCAAUCAUCGUGCUGCUGCCAAAGCAGUCCGGUGCAACAAAGCUGACUGGUUUUUGCCCCAUCAGCCUCAUCCACUCAGUGGCAAAACUGAUCGCGAAUGUUCUCUCCAUCAGGUUAGUUGGCGUCUUGGAUCAACUGGUUUCCCCCGCCUAGAGCACUUUUCAGAAGAAGAAAGGGAUACACGACAGUUUCCUCUAUGUGCAAAACACGAUCCGGAUGUUUAGAGGAAGAACUCAGUGGCGCUGCUGCUCAAGAUUGACAUCGCAAAAGCUUUUGAUUCGGUUUCCUGGGAAUAUCUGUUGGAGCUGCGGCAACGUCUAAGCUUCCUGGCGCGCUGGAGAGACUGGAUCGCUCUGCUCCUCUCCUCUGUGUCCUCGGCAUGCAUGCUCAACGGCGACCUAGGGCAUGGCAUCCUCCACCUGCGCGGGCUGCGACAAGGGGAUCUGCUCUCGCCGCUCCUCUUCAUCCUGGCGAUCGACCCCUUGCACCGGCUGCUGGAGGCGGCGCAGACGGCCGACAUUCGAACCCCACUGCCAGCCAGAACCGCACGCCUGCGGGUCACGCUCUACGCCGACGACGCAAUCCUCUUCGCCAACCCAGAGCGGCAGGAGGUUGACACCAUCAUGCAGAUACUGGAAGGGUUCGGGGACGCCAUGUGGCUACACUGCAAUCAUCAGUAGCGGCCCUCAAGUGCAACAACUUAGACGUCAUUGAUGUCCUGGGCAACAUCGGUGGCAAGAGAGUAGGCUUCCCGAUCAGAUACCUAGGUCUCCCCCUAUGCGCAGGCAAACUAUGGCUAGUUCGCAUUCAGUUCCUCCACGAUCGCGUUCGCGCACGGUUGGCGGCAUGGAAGGGUCGACUCAUGCCAAUCGCAGGGUGUCAUGUGCUUGUUUGGAGCGUGCUGUCAGCGCUGCCCGCCUUCGCGAUGGCCAUCCUGCGCAUCCCAAAGAAAUUCUACAAAGACGUAGACAAGGCUAGACGACGCUUCCUAUGGGCAUAGGAUGACGAGAUCACCGGCGGGAAGUGCAAAGUUAAUUGGCGGACAAUCACGUCGCCGGUGGACCGCGGCGGCCUCGGGAUCCCUGACAUGGAGCGCUUCAUGCAGGCCCUUCGGCUCCGCUGGCUUUGGCUGGCAUGGACCGACCCAGCGCGACCGUGGGUGGGCACAGGUACGCCCUGCGACGACAAAGACCGGGCGCUCUUCGCCUCGGCCACAAAGGUGGAGGUGGGCGACGAAAACCGGGCCCUCUUCUGGCACUGCCCCUGGCUGGGCGAGCUACCGCUCCGCCGUGCUUUCCCGCUGCUAUUCAGCCGCUCCAUCAGGAAAAACCGCACGGUGGCGGAGGCCCUGCAUGGAGACAGAUGGGUGCUCGAUCUAAGGCACGGCAAUGCUAUGGAAAUCAUCCCCCAGGUUGUCUUGCUAUGGCAGCGGAUCAGUGAAGCAAAUUUGACACUCCGAGAAGGGGUGGCUGAUGCGAUCAAAUGGAAGACAGGAGACCAAUACACAGCGAGAGCAGCCUACAGCAUCCAAUUCCCGGAUGAGCCGAGGGAGCAACUGCGUCAACUCAUAUGGAGGAUCUGGGCACCGGGGAAGAUCAAGUUUUUCCUCUGGCUACUUCACCUCGACCGCCUCUGGUGCAACGAUCGCCUGCAGCGUAGAGGGUGGGAGAAUGGAUAUUUCUGCCAGCUCUGUAACAGAAAUUUGGAGUCCUCCUUCCACCUCCUUUGGGAUUGCCCAACUUCACGCCAAAUCUAGACAACGGCGGCCACCUGGCAUGGCUGCGCUGCACUCUCCCCAAUCACCUGGGAAGUUAGCGUGACCACCACCGAGGUGGUGACCACGAUCGUCAGCGCCGCGGCACCAUCCGACAGAAAGGGCAUCAAGAUAAUGGUCGCCCUGCUGGCCUGGCAAAUCUGGCAGGAGCGAAACCGCUGCACCUUCAGAGGAAAAUCACCGAGCUGGCGCGACAUUCUUGCAGCCUGCCGGAGGGACAUUGAACAAUGGAGGCUUGCCGGAGCCCGCGGCAUAGAGACCCCUUUCGGGGAUGUUACGUGAGGAGUGAACCCAUGCUUGUAAUUUUUCUUUGCUGGGGAAGUGGAGUGUGGACUAUGUGCUCACCCCCUACCUCAUUUAGACCUUGAUCUUUUGAUCACCCUUUUUGUAACCCUCUCUCUGCUAAGCCAAUGAAAAGCCAGCAAUGCUGGAUGUUUCAAAAAAAAGGAGCUGGUGUUAGGUUCCACUGGAUCAAUUUUUAGCUCUUGUUUCUUAAGGUCUGCACAGGUUAGGGGAGUGAUUAGUCUUGUAUGUUUCUCUAAUGAGUGUGUGUCUGGAUGCAUACAUAUAGUAGUGGAGCAAUUACCAUCUGGAUGUGCAUAAAGUGCUCUUCGUUUUUUAGCGAAUACAUGUGGAUGUGCAUAAAGUGUUCUCUCUUUUUUUUACCAGAUAAUUUGGAUCAUGCUGAUUAAUGUACUUCACAUAUUUAUUUGUUUUUAAGCUAAGAGCUCCUAAUAAUCAUUUCUCCUCUUUGCAGUUGCCAUUUCAGUGAUAGCUCCUAAUAAGUGGCUCAUGAGAUGUAUUGACAGAAGUCGUCUCUUGGCGAUGAGAUUAGAAACAAUGAGACAAGCUUUGGAGAAGAAGGACUCUGAUCUUGCGGCUGCACAAAAAAGGCAGAAGACAAAACGGCACUCGUCGACCAGAUGCUGGCCUCAGUCGGAAAGCUGGAGGAAGAGAACACCAAAUUGAAGGCUGCCCUUGACGAAGCCAACAAAGAGGUGACUCGACUGAAGAAGGACAAAGGGACCCUGACUGAUAAGGUGGAAGACAUCUCCCGCAAGAGAGACGAGCUGGAGAGUUAUCUGGGAGGACUCGCCAAGAAGUUAUUCCUCAUGCUUGAAGAAUUCUGUCAAAACUUCGAGGCGGAGACUGGUUAAAUUGAAACGAGCUUGGACCCCAUCAACUCCCCUAUCAAGGAUGAAGCUGCCAUGAAUGUGCUCCGACUGGAAUCUCGUCUUGCUAGCGUCGUCGACUACCUCGCUCGACUAAAGGUUGCGGUGUCGCGGAUCGACACAGCGCUCUGGCCAAGGGCGACGCUCCAGAAUGUUCUCGAGUCUCUGAUGACUCGACUCAAUGAGAUCCCCGGUCAAGUGCAGGAAUGGAAGAAGUCUUCUGCCCGGUGUGGUGCUGACGUGGCUCUGUCUCUGGUUCGCGUUCACUACAAGGAAGCCAAAGAAGAGAAGCUAGCAGCGAUCAAGGUUGCCAACACCAAAUGGCUUGACUUCCAGUCCUUCAUGGAGACUUUCAUUGCUGCUGCUACUCGGAUUGCUGAUGGAAUCGACUUGGAUGAGUUUGUCGAACCUGCCAGCCCUCCUCCUACGGAGUGAACAAAAUCUUUUAUGAUCCGUUUAAAUUUGCCUCGGUAUGUCGAGUGGUUUUGUAACCGUUAAACUCCUUCGGGCCUAAAGCCCGUGUACUUUAAUCUGCGGUCCGGAACCUCAUGGGAUUUAUCUUAAACUUAGCCUUUCUUUGAA